UCAGCCUCCCGAGUAGCUGGGGCUACAGGCACCUGCCACCACACCCGGCUAAUUUUUUUGUAUUUUUAGUAGAGACGGGGUUUCACCGUGUUAGCCAGGAUCUUCUUGAUCUCCUGACCUUGUGAUCCACCCGCCUCGGCCUCCCAAAGUGCUGGGAUUACAGGUGUGAGCCACCGCACCUGGUCCAAGAACCCAAGUUUUAGAUCUAGAGUGAUGUCAGCAUGACAUUGAUUUCCUGAGGCCCAGGGGUGAAGGAGCUGAGGACAGCAGAGGGGUGAAGGAACUCAGCUACAGACAGCAGCAGCUGAUGCACAGGCCUCCCAGCGCCUGAAGUCACCCGGAAUUGGGAAGUGCUCAGAAGCUUACAAAGCUGCCUCGAGGUGGGAACACGACAUAAAUCCAAGAGCAGAUCCCUGAUCCUAUAAAAAUGUACUAGAUGCAGUGGGGUCAUUUUAAAUGAGCAGAGAAGGACAGACAGAUAAACAGAAGGACAAACAGUAUUGGGAUUGGGAUAAAUGCUCAGCUUUUGCCCAAAUCUUAGUGACUUAAGCAUCACUUAUUUGCUCACGAUUCUGUGGCUGGACCAUUUGGUUUGGCUCACAGGGCAGGGACUGUGCUGGUCUUACCUGAGCAGACCUGCAUGUCUGCGGUCAACUGGGUUGGCAGAGACAGAGUGACUGUCUUCCUCCAGGAAGCAGCAGGUUAACUGGUUGGCAGAGACAGAGGGACUGUCUUCCUCCAGGAAGCAGCAGGUUAACUGGUUGGCAGAGACAGAGGGACUGAGGGACUGUCCUCCUCCAGGAAGCAGCAGGUUAACUGGUUGGCAGAGACAGAGGGACUGAGGGACUGUCUUCCUCCAGGAAGCAGCAGGUUGGCUCUGUUUCCUUCGUGGGGUAGCUGGUCUCCAGGGCAGCAAGAGAGACCAAGCCCCAGUGCACAUUCUACAGCCUCUGUGCACAUCAGACUUGUUAAUAUCCCAUUGGCCAGUGUAAGUCACAUGGCCAAGCCCAGAUUAAGGAGUGGAAAGAUGGAGACUAUCUCCUCCUGGGAGAGGAGGCAAAGGAGGUGGGAGCAUUAUGUGGCCAUUUAUGUUUGCAAUCUACCAUACUUAGCACUUUGAGAAAAGAAUUAACUGAGAAACUUGCUUCAAAUAGGGCAUUCAGUAAAAUGAAGCCCCAAUUGAAGUAAAAGGCAUAUAUAAAAAAUGAAACUGUGACCGAUUUUAAGGACAGUAUUGGCAAAUAUUUCUGUGCUCUUGGAGGAGAAGACCCUUAUUUGCAUGACAUGUCAGAAACCACAAUGAAAGAAUUAUUUUAACUUGCAUUCAUAAAAAUUAAAAUUAUUCAUUAAAAACAUCGUGAAUGAAAUUAAAA
rnacentral:lncRNA from 1 species